GAAAAAUAAAAAAACAAUUUCAAAUUUUUAUUCAUUAAUUUUCAUAUUUUUUUUUUGUAAUUUGAAAGUAAAAUUUUUUUUGAGAUAAAAAAUUAUUGUUUCAAAUUUUGUUAGGGAAAAAGAUAAAAAAAAAAUUUUUUUUAAAAAGAAUUAAAAAUUGAAAUGAAUACCACAAGUCAGUUAUUGGAUUUUGACACACAUUAUGUCCAAGUGAUUCUUAUCCCGAAAAGGAGUGGAAUGAUUCUAGAUAGAUUUGAAGCUUCCACAAUGCAAACCCGACCAACUCAACUGAUAACCCCAACAAUACCACCGGCAAUGACGCCAAGAAGAUGUUUCAAAUGCAACUCUGAUAGCCAUCUGAUACAUCAAUGCCCUAGAUAUAUAAACAGAAACAACAUUCAGAAUAAAACAAUUAAAAAGAGGAAUAAAUAUAAUGAUAAUAAAGAAAGAAUUAAUGAAACUCAACAAUCAAUUGAAAAUAUAAAGAAACAAAGAGAAACAAUGACAAACAAUAAAUUCAGUACUGAUGAAUCAACAUCAAUUCCGACAAUAGAAACGUUACAGAUACAAAAUGUUGACAGUAAAACUCAAGAAAGAAUAAUAAAAAUGUGGGAAGAAAGUAUGAUAAUGGAUACACACAAAUAAUCGGACAUAUUACAAUUUUAGAUGUUCAUUAAUUUAAAAUACUUUUUAGUUAUCUAUUAAAUGGUUCGGGAAAAGUCAAAUCCUGUGCGUUCCUUUUUAAAUUAGAUAUCAUAAAAAAUCAAUCUAUUUGUAAAAUAGAAGAUUGUGGAUCUUAACUGGAGACCAUGCUGCAAAUCUUGAACGACAUAUAGAAAGAUUCCACAAUAGGGAAUUCAAAUUAUUAAGAAAAAAGAAAGAAAAUUUGACUAUUAAAAAAAUUCAAAUAAUGAAAACUGCAAACCAGUAUAAUACAAUCCAAGAUGGUUUUAAGUCCAACACUACUACAAUACAAAUCAAUAUAAAUAAAGAAACUUUAAUCCGCUCCUGCACCGCUAAUAAAAAAAAAAUUUCAGACCUCUACAAAAAAAUCGACAUUUCCUGGAUGUAUUCAAACACGUUCUUCUUUGUCCUAAAAACCUACCAGCAAUACUAAAUCCUCGUUCAGAAGAAGCGCUAGUUGCAGGAAUUGCCAAUAUUUUUCUUGCUUAUCUUGAUAACUUUGACAAAUCUCUUUCUUCUCGUUUACACCAAAAUUGGUCGGAGAACGCGGGUGAUUUGGGGGGUGAGGGCGCGACGUUCAAUUUGGCCAUAUCGAUGAUUAUAUCCGGUGAAUAAUUGGCCUGGUAUGUCUCAAGAUAAAGUUCAGGCGAGGCGAAGGCCGGAACUUUGUAAU